rnacentral:lncRNA from 1 species
GUCGACAUAUCUUAUUCCUUUGUUGCAGGACAAGAACUUGGAACUUGCUGAGCUGGGGAUGGCGGGAGUAAAAGAGUUGUAACCUUCCCUUCUGCUCCCCAAACAAUGUGAGAGAAGAAACCAUUAGACGCCACUCUCUCCUGUUAGCCCAACUGCCAGAGCGGAAAAAGUUGUGACGUCACUGGCUUACUCAGCAAGCUAACUGUGGGAGGUGGGAGUAGAAGAGCUGUAACCUCUCCCACUCGAGGAACUACCCUCCUGCUUGACAAAUUACAGGAGCAAAAAAGCCACGUAUCAGAGGAGACUUCAGGGACUGGGGAGCAGGGAAGCAUUAGAAAUAAUAAAGAACAUUCUCUUUUUCCAAUCUCCAAACACAUAUUUAAUCGGCAUAAUGUAACUGAUGGAUGUCCUCCACAAAAAUAUCUAGAGGUGAUGGACCAUGCCCAAGUUGCUCACAGGGCACUUAAUAAAUGAGGACAAGAGAGAGAAAGAAACAGAGGCAGAAUAAGAAAGCAUUUCAGAUGGGGAUCCAAGUUGGUGCCUGUGUGGGUACUUGUGUGUCUACAUAGAAGUUGGCAAACUGUUUCCAAAGUAUAUACAGGAAUGUAAAGAGCCAAGAGUAACAAAGACAAUCUCAGAGGAGAAAGCUGGAGAACCUACAUUACCAGGCAAGAUCAACUAGCUACUGCAACAAAUGGACUCAAAAUAUGAAAUAGCACAUAAUGGAAAUGUAUUUCUUGUUUACAAGAGUAAACAGAUCAGAGAACAAUUCUCCUCCAAAUGGCCAACAGAUACUCUGCCAUCUUCAC